CCUACGGGGGGCAGCAGUGAGGAAUCUUGGUCAAUGGCCGGAAGGCUGAACCAGCCAAGCCGCGUGAAGGACGAAGGUGCCAAGCAUUGUAAACUUCUUUUGUCAAGUGACAAAAUCAGGCUCGAGAGCCUGACCGCGCGUACUUGAAGAAAAAGCAUAGGCUCACUCCGUGCCAGCAGCCGCGGUAAUACGGAGGAUGCGAUCGUUAUACGGAUUUAUUGGGUUUCAAGGGUGCGUAGGGGGACUGUUAAGUCAGAGGUAAAAGCCCGGGGCUCAAACCCGGCGAGCCGUUGAAACUGGCUGUCUUGAGAUGUCGAGAGGUAUGCGGAAUGCGAAGUGUAGCGGUGAAAUGCUUAGAUAUUGCGCAGAACACCGAUUGCGAAGGCAGCAUACCGGCGGCGAUCUGACGCUGAGGCACGAAAGCGUGGGUAUCGAACAGGAUUAGAUACCCCUGUAGUC
rnacentral:rRNA from 1 species